AUAGAUUCAUAUAUAUGGCGCAUUUGUUCUUUAUCCUGAAAAUUGAUCCCGGAGAGUAUACCAGGCGUAACGUGGCAACUUGUGCUUCGAAUCGUAUUAAUGAUUCUGCCGAUCUUUCAACAUAUUCAAAAAUAGUUAAUGAUUAAUUCAACUAAGAGAAAUAAUUAUUUUUACUUGUGGCACGAGACCUGAUAUUUAGGGAGAAAGUGCUAACGGAUUACAUCGACGACACUGCUCAAAUCAUACUUUUUUGUUUCGACUUCGGAUGGACGAAAGAUAAAGUUAAUAUCUAAAAAAUUACAACUCUGGCCAUAAAAUGACGCAAAAUCCACUACGCAUUUUGUCCAGUGAGUAAAGAAUUGUGCCAGCACGUGACCUUCAAUUUGAAGUUAUAGAAUCGACACCAUAAGAACGAAUAAAUAAUCCGUAAGCAAAUUAUGCACAAUGUUGCAACCUAUGUUAAAAAGUACCGUAUAUGAAGGAUGUUUUCCAUAUCGUAUUGAUAAAAUCGUAUAUUUAGGUUCCAGCUCUGCUUUCAUAAAUACAUGCGGUCGUGUAGUCAUUACCUCUACGAAAUAUAUAAAAAUAUGUCAUGUGUUGAAAUAAUUAAGAAACAAGGUGCUCCUACUUCAUCCAGUCUUGAGACAUUAUGCAUCCUACUAUCUAUUCUACUAAUAUCGCUAUUCUUUUGAUGGAAUACCGUCUCAGCUGAUGCUUAUGGAUUUCAUGUAAGAAUAUUCAUGAAUAAAAGUUGAUUUCAAAUUUA